rnacentral:tRNA from 1 species
AGGUCCGUAGUGUAUAGCACGCAAAAUUGCAAGUUUUUAAGAGCAGAAUAAUAUCUGCCGGGGCUU